AUACGUAGGGGGCAAGCGUUAUCCGGAUUUACUGGGUGUAAAGGGAGCGUAGACGGUUUGGCAAGUCUGAUGUGAAAGCCCGGGGCUCAACCGCGGGACUGCAUUGGAAACUGUCAGACUUGAGUGCAGGAGAGGUAAGUGGAAUUCCUAGUGUAGCGGUGAAAUGCGUAGAUAUUAGGAGGAACACCGGUGGCGAAGGCGGCUUACUGGACUGUAACUGACGUUGAGGCUCGAAAGCGUGGGGAGCAAACAGGAUUAGAUACUCUGGUAGCCCACGCCGUAAACGAUGAAUACUAGGUGUUGGGAGACAAUAGUUUCUCGGUGCCGCAGCAAACGCAAUAAGUAUUCCACCUGGGGAGUACGUUCGCAAGAAUGAAACUCAAAUGAAUUGACGGGG
rnacentral:rRNA from 1 species